rnacentral:rRNA from 1 species
UACGUAGGGUGCAAGCGUUAAUCGGAAUUACUGGGCGUAAAGCGUGCGUAGACGGUUAUGUAAGUCAGGUGUGAAAGCCCCGGGCUCAACCUGGGAAUGGCAUUUGAGACUGCAUAGCUAGGGUGCGGAAGAGGGAAGCGGAAUUUCCGGUGUAGCGGUGAAAUGCGUAGAUAUCGGAAGGAACAUCAGUGGCGAAAGCGGCUUCCUGGUCCAGCACCGACGUUCAGGCACGAAAGCGUGGGGAGCAAACAGG